GACGAACGCUGGCGGCGUGCUUAACACAUGCAAGUCGAACGAUGAAGCGGUGCUUGCACCGUGGAUUAGUGGCGAACGGGUGAGUAAUACGUGAGUGACCUACCUUUGACUCUGGGAUAAGCCUGGUAAACUGGGUCUAAUACCGGAUACGACCAAUCUCUGCAUGGGGUGUUGGUGGAAAGCGUUAUGUAGUGGUUUUAGAUGGGCUCACGGCCUAUCAGCUUGUUGGUGAGGUUAUGGCUUACCAAGGCGACGACGGGUAGCCGGCCGGAGAGUGUGACCGGCCACACUGGGACUGUGACAGGGCCCAGACUCCUACGGGAGGCAGCAGUGGGGAAUAUUGCACAAUGGGCGCAAGCCUGAUGCAGCGACGCCGCGUGAGGGAUGACGGCCUUCGGGUUGUAAACCUCUGUUAGCAUCGAAGAAGCGAAAGUGACGGUAGGUGCAGAGAAAGCGCCGGCUAACUACGUG
rnacentral:rRNA from 1 species